rnacentral:lncRNA from 1 species
AAUUUUUGGGAUAAAAAAUUUAAGAUAUAUAGCAUUACUCUUUUGCGAAACAUGCUUAGCUGAUUUGUUUAUUUACGAGGUCGCAUUCAAGGAGCCAUUUGUGUCCUAUAUUUUCACUCGUCUUAGCAGUAUUUAUGUAAAACUCAACUGUUAGCUAAUUGUUACAUAUUUAUUACACUGCGUGUAUAAUUUUUUAAUAUUUUUCAUCAACUUCUCACAAAGUCAAUGAAUCUGACACUUGGGGUAAUUUUCUUUUGAUUAUUUCGAUCCCGUUGGAGCUUUAUUUUAUUUGCAGCUUGUUAAUAAUUUAAUUAAUCAAUAUUACGAGAUCUAAUAUGCCAGAGUUUGAAAGGCUGCAUGUAAUACAUACAAUAAGUAUUUUAAUGCCGCAAAUUAAUCAUUAAUGCAUAAAUUUUGCAUAUAUGUAUUUAUAAUGGACCCACUUUGAGCAACUUGGAAGACUUAUCCAGUUUGAGUUAUAAAAAGUCAAAUUUCAUGACUUUUAAUCCAUUUUAAUUCUUCAAGCGAAUCAAGCUUGGAUGCUCAUGAAGCCUCUAUCGAUCUGAUCAUGUAAUUAAGGUUCAUGAAGCCCCUAUCGAUCUGAUUACGCAGUUAACAGCUGUCGUGUGAUGUAAUGCGAAUAAGGCCACAGUCAAGACCAAAAGAACAAAAUGCAAAUCAAAUUUCUAUAUAUAUAUAUAUAUAUAUAUAUAUAUAUAUGAUCAUCAACCUUCUAGUGAUAAUUAUAAGUAUAAUCAUAAUAAUGUCACAAUGUCUAUCACAUGUAAUCAACGACUUAAAAAUUCUUAUGCCAGUACACUAUUGUAGGCAGCUAUGAAUAAUAUACAUAUCCCCUCGGGUGUUUGAAUAAUUCAUAUUCAAUUUGUAUUUAUUAAUAUGCAUGUAUAUUGGUUGGCGCAUGCAAAUGAAAUCUGUAUGUCGAAACUUGCAUGCAAAGGCCACGUGAAGCACAUCUAAAUGGGGCCGUGUGUAGCAUUUAGAGUGCCUUUCGUAUUGAGGUUGGAAAGUUACAGCAGUAAAGUGUUUGGUAAACACUAACUGUGAUAGCUUGAAAGUUAUGUUGAUAUGAUUUUUCACUUGUAUAAUAGAGAAUCUAUUAUAUCUUUAAUAAUUUUGUUAAAAUUAUUAUUUAAAAUUUAUAUUUACUAUAAAUUAUUAACUUUUAUUUUAUAAGUACAGUUUUUUUCCACAGCAACUGUAACUUAAAAGAUACAGCACCUCAAUCUCAAACUCACCCUUAAUCUUGCUUUAAUUUAUUAAUUUAAAAUUUGUGAAUGGCCAGAAUCAAUUUAGAUAUAUUACGAGUCAAUUAAUGAUAUUCCUUUUAAAAGAAUUACUCUUAAUUGUACUGUAAACAUAAUUAAUUGUGAAAAGAAUU